rnacentral:tRNA from 1 species
GGGCCCGUAGCUCAGUCUGGCAGAGCACCUGUUUUAGGACCAGGGGGUCGCGGGUUCAAAUCGGAUGAUGUCGCUUUGCGAUGUCUUUCGGGAAAGUCCCGUCGGGCCCA